rnacentral:rRNA from 1 species
UUGGAGGGCAAGUCUGGUGCCAGCAGCCGCGGUAAUUCCAGCUCCAAUAGCGUAUAUUAAAGUUGUUGCAGUUAAAAAGCUCGUAGUUGAAUUUCGGGAUUGACGUGAUGGUCAUGCCUUAAGGGGUAUGAACUGUUACUGUUGAUUUCUCACCUUCUGGAGAAACUUGAUGUCCUUUAUUGGGUGUCUUGCGGAUCCAGGACCUUUACCUUGAAAAAAUUAGAGUGUUUAAAGCAGGCAUUUUUGCUCGAAUACAUUAGCAUGGAAUAAUAGAAUAGGACGGCAUGGUUCUAUUUUGUUGGUUUCUAGGAUCACCGUAAUGAUUAAUAGGGAUAGUUGGGGGCAUUAGUAUUCAAUUGUCAGAGGUGAAAUUCUUGGAUUUAUUGAAGACUAACUACUGCGAAAGCAUUUGCCAAGGAUGUUUUCAUUAAUCAAGAACGAAAGUUAGGGGAUCGAAGACGAUCAGAUACCGUCGUAGUCUUAACCAUAAACUAUGCCGACUAGGAAUCAGACGAUGUUAAUUUUUUAAUGACUCGUUCGGCGCCUUACGGGAAAC